CGUCUGCCAUCUCACAAUGCUCAUAUAACGGAAAUCCUCUGCAAGUCGGCACGAGCAGAAACAGCAAGUGGAUAUCACUUAAGAGCACUAAUCUCAACAUACGAGCGACACUGGAACGGCACUACUUGUUUCAAAACAGCCGCUCAGAGUUGUCAUUUAUCAUCCACCCCUAAACGCCGAAAAAAAAUAUAAUCACCAAAAUGGAUAAUGAUUCUUCUUAAAGGAAUCAAGAGACAUCGUUGAUUGUUGGCCCUUUGAUCAAAUAACAUGAAGAUGCACACAGAAGUUUCUCAAAUGACAUUCACGUGUCUGGAUAAUGCGAUCGAGAAUGAUCUUCCAGACUCUCCGGAAUCCAAAGAUACAGAUGACGAAUUUAAAUCACAUGGCCGAACGCGACGUGGGGGUGAUCAGGAAAACUUGAGUAGGGAGGAAAGAC